rnacentral:rRNA from 1 species
GAUGAAACGCUAGCGGCAGGCUUAACACAUGCAAGUCGAACGGUAACAUUUCUUGCUUGCAAGAAGAUGACGAGUGGCGCACGGGUGCGUAACGCGUAUACAACCUGCCUUUAACUAAGGGAUGGCCUUUAGAAAUGAAGAUUAAUACCUUAUAGUAUUAUUGAUUGGCAUCAAUUAAUAGUUAAAGAUUUAUUGGUAAAAGAUGACUAUGCGUUCUAUUAGUUAGUUGGUGAGGUAACGGCUCACCAAGACAGCGAUAGAUAGGGGUCCUGAGAGGGAGAUCCCCCACACUGGUACUGAGACACGGACCAG